AUUAGAUAAGACCAAUACAUGCUUUUAAAGUAUGGAAUUUGGUGAUUUACAAUAACUUAGCAAAUCGCAUAGUGAAAACACGAUAAAUCAUUCAAGUUUCUGACCUAUCAGCUUUCGACGGUAUGGUAUUGGCUUACCGUGGCAGUGACGGUUAGGGGGAUUAGGGUUCGAUUCCGGAGAGGGAGCCUGAGAAACGGCUACCACAUCUAAGGAAGGCAGCAGGCGGCAAAUUACCCAAUUCUAACAGCAUAAGAGAGGUAGUGACAAGAAAUAACAAUACAAGGCAGUUAAAAUGCUUUGAAUUGGAAUGAUAGAAAUUUAAACACUUUUUAAAGUAUCAAUUGGAGGGCAAGUCUGGUGCCAGCAGCCGCGGUAUUCCAGCUCCAAUAGCGUAUAUUAAAAUUGUUGCAGUUAAAAAGCUCGUAGUUGAAUUUCUGCUAAAAAUAACCGUCUGCUUUUAAUAAAGGUGGUAUCUUGGUGUGUUUUUAGCAAUAAUGUCCUUUGAAAUGUUUUUUACUUCAUUGUAUAAAUUAUUUUCAGGAUUUUUACUUUGAGAAAAUUAGAGUGUUUCUAGCAGGCUAACGCUUUGAAUACUGCACA
rnacentral:rRNA from 1 species